rnacentral:misc_RNA from 2 species
GCUGAAAACACGGAUACGCUUAUUCGUAAAUGAAGUGUUUGUAAGGAAAAGCUUUGACUAUAACUUACAUUAAUUUCAG